UACGGAAGGGGCAAGCGUUGUUCGGAAUCAUUGGGCGUAAAGGGCGCGUAGGUGGUUCUGUAUGUCUAUCGUGAAAGCAUACAGCUCAACUGUAUUUUGUCGGUAGAAACUGCAGGACUUGAGGCUGGGAGGGGCUGGUGGAAUUCCCUGUGUAGCGGUGAAAUGCGUAGAGAUGGGGGAGAACACUCGUGGCGAAGGCGGCUCACUGGCCCGGUACUGACGCUGAGGUGCGAAAGCGUGGGGAGCAAACAGG
rnacentral:rRNA from 1 species